rnacentral:lncRNA from 1 species
UGUGUUUUGGGCUAGGGUUAAUUUUAUUCGGCCAUACGGGUUAUUGGGUUUUGGGUUGUCUUUUAUUUUUUUAUUUUUUUGUUUUUGGUUUCUUUGGCGGGCCGGGCAAAAAUUAGGCCCUACAGCUGCCCCUCUUUGCUCACUGUCGUGUAACGAGAAUAGAGCAAAGACUAAAAAGCCCAAUUUUUCCCGGUCUUACUGAGCCUCGACUUCUUCAGGUGGCCUCAUUUCUUCCUACUGCAUCUUUA